rnacentral:rRNA from 1 species
UUAAGCAUAUCAAUAAGCGAGGGAAUU